GGGCGUUUAGCUCAGUUGGUUAGAGCACCUGCCUUACAAGCAGGGGGUCACAGGUUCGAAUCCUGUAACGCCCA
rnacentral:tRNA from 1 species